GAUGAAGAACGUAGCGAAAUGCGAUAAGUAGUGUGAAUUGCAGAAUUCAGUGAAUCAUCGAAUCUUUGAACGCACAUUGCGCCCCAUGGUAUUCCGUGGGGCAUGCCUGUUCGAGCGUCAUUUACCCCCUCAAGCUCCGCUUGGUGUUGGGCGUCUGUCCCGCUUCGCGCGCGGACUCGCCCCAAAGGUAUUGGCAGCGGUCGUGCCAGCUUCUCGCGCAGCACAUUGCGCUUCUCGAGGCACCGGUGGGCCCGCGUCCAUCAAGCUCUCCCCCCCAGUUUGACCUCGGAUCAGGUAGGGAUACCCGCUGAACUUAAGCAUAUCAAUAAGCGGAGGA
rnacentral:misc_RNA from 1 species